rnacentral:misc_RNA from 1 species
GCCAUCAGGCUGAGAGAGAAAAAGAGGAUUUCAUCAAUUUGACAUAACAUAAAUUUUAAAAUAGAAACCAAAAUGCCUAAACAAUCAAAUAAAAAAGGUGUAGAGUCAAAUUACGACAAUUAAAAAAACCCUAAAGAAUGAAGAGAUUGAUUAAUUUUAGUUCAUACAAUCCGAUGAAAAGCCAACGGUCUCACAACAUAUCCCAAAUCAUUGAAAUCUUUUGGAUUAUAAAAGAACAGGAUUCAGAGAACCACAUCAAACGCUGUUAAACAAACGAUCAGAUAUGAAUUUAAAUCCCAAAAUCACAGAUCUAGAGGAAUCCACCAGAAUGUCAAGAAACAAACAGAAUGGAGAUGAAAAGGAGAGGGAGGGAUUAC